GAGGGUAUAGCUCAGUGUUAGACUAUGUGCUUGGUGUGUACAAGGUCCUGGAUUCAAUCUCCAGUGCUUCCA
rnacentral:tRNA from 1 species